ACUCCUACGGGAGGCAGCAGUGGGGAAUAUUGGACAAUGGGCGAAAGCCUGAUCCAGCAAUACCGCGUGAAUGAUGAAGGCCUUAGGGUUGUAAAGUUCUUUUAGUUGGAAAGAUAAUGACGGUACCAACAGAAAAAGCCCCGGCUAACUCCGUGCCAGCAGCCGCGGUAAUAC
rnacentral:rRNA from 1 species